AGCUCCUCUCACUCCCUCUGUUUGCCCUCUCCUGCCAAGGGCACUGCAGUGACCUACAAUGAUCAGUGCAGAGACAGCACUGUGGCUGCUGCUGCUCCUUGACACCUAUUUCACCUUGAAAUAGAGGCUCAAGCUAAAACAGAGCCAGCACCUCUUAAAAUCACCUCACUGGGGACCUUUGUAAAGACAGAUCAGGGAUUCAGUGAUAGGGCUCCAUGCCCCUGUCCCCAGUGUCAGAUUAGGCACCCUUGAGAAAACUCAGUACUCUGCUUCUAUACUGCUGGAAUCUUAAUUUUGGGACCACUGUAUGGUUUAUUUCAUUUUUUGUUAUACAGGAAUGCCAGCUGCAGACGAAUUGGAGAAAACUGCUUUGAUUAAUGAACAUUAUCAUGUAUAUUGAGUCUGCAAGAAGAAGAAAGGAAGAUGCAUCACUGAGGGAUGGGACUGAGCUUCAAAGUGAUAAAUACCAAGUGAAGAAGCAGUGGAUCAUUAAAUAAGGCUGUGCACAGAGAAAGCUGGGUUGCCAUAGGAGAGAAGCCCCUAUAGCCAGAAUUACACAGAACUACCCAGACACAGAGCACCAGGGAUCUUAAACAUUGUCCCUUCUGUAGUGCUGCAGGAGAGGCUCCCCUCUGCAUGGCAUGCACAGGUACUUCAGGGGACAUCUCCAACAAGGAGGAUGAAGAGUCUCUUUUCUACCCAAGACAUCAAAGAGCACUCUUCUGGAAAGUAUAAAGAAGAUAGAGUCCUCUUCUUGUGUGUGCAGAGCAGAAGGACAACAGGCAACAGACACAAACUAGAAAACAGGAAAUCCCAAUACAGUAUAAAGAGUUGUCAGACCCUGGAGCAGGUUGUAGAAUCCUUGUCUUUGGAGAUAUUGAAAACCUGGUAGGACAUGAUGUUGACUACUUCAAGCUCUAAAAACCUUCUUUGAGCAGGAGGAUGUUCUAGGUGAAUGCCUGAAGUCCCUUCCAACCUACGUGUUCCUCAAAUUGCAUCUGUGCAAGAGCAGUGUGUCCUGCAGCAUUGCAGCAGUGGGAGGCUUGUUGCCAGCACCAUUCAGUGAAGAAAGGGAAGAAGCAAGGUUGCUUUGAAUGGAGUUUUCUGGAAUACACCUAAGGAAUCUGCUGGAGAGGAAGGGGAGGUGACUUGGUCAGAUGGGUGUUGGUUUCUGCGUAACAUUGUCGUUUUGGGGAGGGUUUUUUUAAAAAAUGUGAAUAUUUUUAUUAAUGCACUUAUUCUUUUUUUCUGCCUCCUUUAGUGAGGUCUAAACUAGAAAUAAACGUAUUUCUAAUGCGUGUAAUCACAAAGACAAACAACUAUGUCAAAUACAGUUGGGAAGAAGAUCCAGCUACAGCACGAGACCGAAUAACUGCUGUGAAAAGACACAGGUGAGACGGCAAGAAGUUGCAAGAAGUGCAAAUAGAAGAGACUGCCAUAGAUGGUAAAGACUUACAGAUGGUAAAGAUGCUUGUUAUUGCCUUUGCAUUGCAUUUCUACAGUGUUUGCUAUAGCAGAGUGCAAGAGCCAAUGGCACAGUCACUGAGCAAUUGUGUGGUGGUUGCUGUUUGCCACAGAAUAUCCUGAGUUGGAAGGGAUUCGCAAAGGUUAUUGAAUCCAUCUCCUGGCCCUGAACAAAACAGCCCCAAGAGUCACACCAUGUGCCCAAGAACUUUGUCCAAAAGCUUCUUGAACUGUGUCAGGCUUGGUGCUGUGACCUCUU